AUAAAGACAUCAAAAGAAAACAAUAAAGACUAUUCUAGAAAGUAAAAAACAAUAAAGGAAAAUGAAAGAUUAGGAAGGUAAGAGGUCUGCUGGCAGCGAUGAGCUUAAACAAAUCUUCGAUAAGCCUUUAUCAUCAAAAUCAAAGAAGCAUCUAAUUUACACUACUUCACUAAGAUCUAGGUCUGAGUAUGACACAUGACAUUUGAGUUUAUAUGAGAUUGGGUGGAUCUUCAAGGUACUGAUGUGCUGUAGAGUUUGGGUCUGACUUUCAAACUUCAUCUUAUUUCCUUAAUGUCUUUACUUACUUUUAGAUACAGAGAUGUAUCUUCAGUAAUAUCUUAGGUUGUAUUAGAUACUCUUGACAUAUGACACCACUUUUUAGGUUUAUUAUGACAUUUAUUUUAAUUUUAUGCUACUAUUAUACUAGUAUAGGUCUGAAUUCCUUUGAGAA